GUCGGAAGAUGGGACGACUGCUCGAUUUAAAAAAUUGAUGAAUAAAAUCACACUGGCAGCCAGAAAAGCGAUAGCACAGAAGUGGAUCGACACCACAAUACCUACUCUGACAGAGGUGAUGCAAAGAAUUGAGGAAAACUCUAUCUCAUGGACAAACUGACAGCAAUAGUACACAACACCACCCAGUCCUUUAAAAAGCUGUGGAAGCCUUGGACAGACUUGGGAAGGGUGGUCAGCAG